rnacentral:rRNA from 1 species
UACGUAGGGGGCAAGCGUUGUCCGGAUUUAUUGGGCGUAAAGAGCGUGUAGGCGGCCAGGUAGGUCUGCUGUGAAAACUCGAGGCUUAACCUCGAGCUGUCGGCGGAAACCAUCUGGCUAGAGUCCGGAAGAGGAGAGUGGAAUUCCUGGUGUAGCGGUGAAAUGCGCAGAUAUCCGGAGGAACACCAGUGGCGAAGGCGACUUUCUGGCCUGUUCUUGACGCUGAGGCGCGAAAGCUAGGGGAGCAAACGGG